rnacentral:rRNA from 1 species
AUUGAACGCUGGCGGCAGGCCUAACACAUGCAAGUCGAACGAGCGGCGGACGGGUGAGUAAUGUCUGGGAAACUGCCUGAUGGAGGGGGAUACCUACUGGAAACGGUAGCUAAUACCGCAUACCAUCAGAUGUGCCCAGAGGGGAUUAGCUAGUUGGUGGGGUAACGGCUCACCAAGGCGACGAUCCCUAGCGGGUCUGAGAGGAUGACCGGCAACCCGGGAACUGAGAAACGGUCCAGAUUCCUACGGGAGGCAGCGGUGGGGAAUAUUGCACAAUGGGCGCAAGCCUGAUGCAGCAAUGCGGCGGGUGUGAAGAAGGCCUUCGGGUUGUAAAGUACUGUCAGCGGGGAGGCGUUAUCCGAAGAGGAAGCGCCGGCUAACGCCGUGCCAGCAGCCGCGGUAAUUC